CAGCAGCUACUAGAUUCAUAAUUUCCAUACUACCGGCAUACUAUGCGUAUCGUCUCGGUCUUUGAUCCAUCGAAGGCCGGAAAUCUGGCAAGAGAAAAAUUAAUCGGUUGUAACUAGCCCGCAACGUUUUUCCUUAAUUUCGCCAUGUCCAUUGUAGAAUUCGCUGCGAAAUGAUUGAAUUCAACGACUAAACCGAGGCAUACCCUUAAGGCAUACCUAUACAUAUAUCCUCAGAUAAGACUUUCAUCCGCGCUGGCGAUAAAACCGGUCAAGAAUUUUUACGCCUAGACGUUAUCACCUCGGUAGCGUAGUAUUGUAGUAGAUAAUAAGAUAGCCGGUUCACACGACCCUUUAUCGUGUUUCCUGCUAAGGUAAAUUUAAUAUCCGAGUUAUGAGAGUCGAUAUGUCGUUGCUACUUUUGAAAUAUUAGUGUACGAUUUCUAUAAGCAAUAGUAUACUUAUAGUAUAUUAUUUAUGUUCGCAUAUUAUAAGCUCGUGAUACUACACGAUUAAAUUUCAUUCGUCAGAAUUUGUUCGCUCCGGCAGUUGAGCCAAGGUUAUAAGGAGCGCACACGUGAUUUGAAAUUAUCAAAUGACUGAUUGUGAGUGGCCAAAGACUCCGCAAUUUCAUUUCUGAUUCUCAAGGAUCGACAUUACAACUACUAUUCAGCCCUGUUUCCCCCUCAUAUCCCUUUGUCUCCUGUUACAUUCCGCAUACAGUUUCACCUUCGAUUUUCGACUGCCACAUCUGUACCAACACCUUAAGAGCUACUCGAUCUCCAUUGUUCUUGCGGCAAUUCAAAGAUGGAACAAAGCACAUACAUCUACCCAAUAUACAUAUGCAACAAAAUUUGUAAAAAUGUUAAUCAUCAUGGUUGUGAGGAAAAAGGAAGACAACAAAGCUGGUGACUAACAUAAGCAGCGAGACAACCUGGCGCACCACUUGAUGCGAUGAUGUGUGUAAAAUUCACAUGGUAUUACAAAACUGAGUCGGGACCGUUCCUCCGGCGGGGCAGACACCGCCACACAAGAAGCCAGGAAUGCGGUUCGAAUGCGUGGCAAGGAUCUGCCCUGGGAGGCGGCAACAGCCUGCGAUGCCGGGGCUAUAGAUCGCUG